UACUACUAUUAAACAAGAAAACAUUAUCUUUCUUAAGUGCACCCCGUCUAACGUACAUACAACAAACCAAGAUAAUUAGAGCCUCAUGAUCGGUCCAUUCAUUUAGAUCUAACCGUUAAAAUAACAACUAACCUUUAGCGAUAGUACGUCAAUCAAUUUAAGGUAGCGGACGAAAACUCUGCCAUCGAGCAGACGAAAGAUUCGUUCAACAACCGCUUGAUCCCAUCCUCAAUUAGCGCUAAAUCCCACCACAAAAUUAGCGCUAACCCAAAAUUUAGCCCGUCGCCCUCGCCGCGCCCCCGUUCCUGGGUCAGAGGUGGUUGUCUCGCCGUGCCCCCGUUCCUGGGUCAGAGGUGGUUGUCUCGCCGCCCCAUGCCACGGCAAUGGCAAUGGCGGCGUGCACGACGAUUUCCUCCACCAGAUGCUCGGCAGCCUGCCGCCCUCGGCUUGACACGACCAUGCCGCUGGGACGAAGCCUGAGGACCGCGCCCAGGCUGAUGGGAUAAAGCAGCAGCUGUUUAGAGGGCCGUACGACCUGUGGGUGAUGCUGGCGUCGCGGCUUUGGCAGCACCAGAUUAGCGGCAUCCCGGCUGCGGCGUCACAGCGGCGAAGUAGAUGGUGCUACAGAACCUCGCCGAUCUGAGAUAGGGCCACUACAACAACAUGCUUCUCAAGGGCAUGGCUGCUCGCCAUCCAUCGGGGGCGACGACGGCGGCGAUGGCGUCCUGCUGCUCCCACUCACCCUUGGCAAGGGCGAAUCGGGCGGUGACGUGCGUGCAGCAGCAAACGGUGCCCAUGCCGAACCAGACCUUUGGCGGAGUAGGAGGUGCUCUGGCUGCAGGGCGCAACCACAACAAGCCGGGGGAGGAGGAGGUGCUCCGGCUGCAGGGCGCAACCACCACAAGCCGGGCGAGGAGGAGGUGGCGCGCCGGCGCCGCCGAGGCAGCGGGUGCGCGUGCGGCCAGGCCAGACCACCAACCCACACAGCACCUCGGAGGGAGUGAACUAUCUAUCGAGUGACACUCAUAUAGUUUUACUGUCAAUUUGGCCGGCAAUUAACCUUAUAGAAUAUAAAACCAAGGGGAGCAGUUAGUUUCUUAGCACUAAUCUGAUUAGUUUCCCGUGUUUUCGUCCUUUUAGUUGCCCAUACUGUUCUUGUUCUUCUCUACUCAUGUGCAGUUCUAUUUAGCUCCAUGGACCUCUCUUCCUCUAUAAACUGAAUGCUGGAUGAUUUAUUCUAAUUAAUUAACCAUCUGGUCCUUGUCGCAGUUUUGCCGGGAGAUGAUAGCUGAGAGGAUAAAGGCCCUGCAAGAACUGGUGCCCAAGGUGAGCAAAGAUAUCAGCGGGAGAACUGAGGCACAGAUUAUGCUUGUAGCUAAGCUAGCUUAAUUGGACUUCGAGAUCCAAGUGGUCGAAGACGAUAGCUAUAUCACUAAGGGUUUUGGUUGGGAAGCUGCUGCUUUAUUAUUGCAUCAGUCAAUGCUGACCAAGAAUUAAAAUAAGGGCUUCAACAGAUGCCGAUGCAACAAAAAGGAUGGAGCCAUCAGGUUGAGAUUUCAUGUGUGAGCAAUUGUUGUACAAUGAGAUUUAAUUGCCGGGAGUAAAUUGUUUUGUACUAUCAAAUGUAGACUUCUAUUAAUAAUAUGUGUCGCUAAAGCUCCUUGAACUUUGCAGAUGUCAAUGAAAAUGCUUAGUGCAAACAAUGGACUUCUCAAUUUUAACGUGUGCCAUUUAAAAGAUGUUGUAGCUUUCGGACAUAUCAAACCUUGGAGCUGGAACAUUGGCUUAUCCCAAGAAGAAGCCAGUUUGAUUGUAUAGUACUUGUUGUUUCUCAAGAUUUCAAAGGCACAAUGUAGAGAUAAUUAUUUUCAAGAAAGUUGUUUUCGGGAAACAACUAACUCCAUAUGUUUGACCCAUAUCAUUGUUCAACAUAAUUGUGUGCAUAUUGUCUCUAUGUCAUUUCAUGAUGUAUUUUUUUCCUUUUAAUAUGGAAUCGUUAGAGAUGAUGGGUUGCCAUUUCUUUGCAAGUUCUAACUAAGGAAAAUGGUGUAUUUGUCAA